UACGAAGGGGGCGAGCGUUGUUCGGAUUUACUGGGCGUAAAGGGCGCGCAGGCGGCGCAUUUUGUCAGGCGUGAAAGCCCCGGGCUUAACCUGGGAACUGCGUUUGAUACGGAUGGGCUAGAGUUCGGGAGAGGAGAGUGGAAUUCCCAGUGUAGAGGUGAAAUUCGUAGAUAUUGGGAAGAACACCCGUGGCGAAGGCGGCUCUCUGGGACGGUACUGACGCUGAGACGCGAAAGCGUGGGGAGCGAACAGG
rnacentral:rRNA from 1 species